CUAAGGUUCUGGAUGAACGUUUGCUUCCACCAAUGAGAAGCACAUGUGUGAGAUUUGGAAGUUGGAAGUGAGAUGAAGGCCUCCUUCUUCCAAAUGAGCUGCCGGCUCAUCGGUGUUUGCAGCCAGGCUCAGCAUUCCAGUGUCGAGUAAUCAAUCAGCUUUGCCAUCAUCUAUAGGCAGUGACCAAGAUGCAGCAGUCAUUGUGCAGUCACCAAUUUUGGGGGGAACUGAGGCAACUGUGGGACUCAAGCAGUGGAAACAGCAGCAAUUUUCUGGCCUCUGGAUUGUAGUUGUGUGCCUUGAAAUCAAUAUCUAGCAGUGGGCCACUGUCUUCUGCUGCUGGAACCCAACCUACAAUUUUAUUAGCCCUGAGCUAACUACUGCCAAUCCUGCUCUUUUUGCUGAGGAAGACUGGCCCUGAGCUAACAUCUGUGCCCAUCUUCCUCUACUUUAUUCGUGGGACGCCUGCCACAGCAUGGCUUGUCAUGCUGUGCCAUGUCUGCACCCGGGAUCCAAACCUGCGAACCCUGGGCUGCUGAAGCAGAAUGUGGGAACUUAUCCGCUGCGCCACCGGGCUGGCCCUUGAAAUCACUAUCUUGAAGAGAUAUCUUCUUCCCCAUGUUCAUUGAAGCAUUAUUUACAAUACUGAAAUAAUCUAAAUGUCUGUCAAUGGAUGAAUGGAUAAAGAAGAUGUACUAUAUAUAAAUACAAUGGGAUAUUAUUCAGCCAUGAGAAGGAAGGAAAUCCUGCCCUUUGCAAUGACAUGGAUGAACCUUGAGGGCACUAUGCUCAGUGAAAUAAGUCAGACAGAGAAAGACAAAUACUGUGUGAUAUCACUUAUAUGUGGAAUGUAAAAAAGCCGAACUCACAAAAACAGAGAGUGGAAUGGUGGUUACCAGAGGCUGUGGGGUUGGGAGAAUUGGGGAUAUGUUGCUUAAGGGUAGAAUCUUGGAACUAGUAGAUAAACAAGUCCUAGAGAUCUAAUGCACAGCAUAGUAAUUAUAGACAACAAUAGUGUAUCAUAAACCACAAAGUUGCUAUGAGACUGGAUCUUGAUUGUUCCCAGCACAAAGAAAUUAUGUGGCAGGAUAGAAGUAUUAGCUAAUGCUGCAGUGGUAAUCAUACUGUGGUAUAUAAAUAUAUCAAGUCAACACACUGUACAUCUUAAAACUAACACAAUGCUGUAUGUCAAUUAUAUCUCAAUAAAAAUAAAUUUUAGAAAUACCAU
rnacentral:lncRNA from 1 species